rnacentral:rRNA from 1 species
AUCUGGGCGGCGGAAUUCAGGAUGGCUGGCGUGUCUUCGCGGCGCGUUGGUCGUUUGAUAUUUCCGUCGCCGAUCACACACAGACGUCGCGACCUGUUCGCGGUCGGUCCCUGCUCGGAGGAGCCGCGUUCGAGUUCGUUGUGUAUGCGUUUCGGCGUGUCACACGGCGAAGGCGCGGAUCUCUGGCUGGCCGUCGGACAGUACGCUUAACGGUGUCUGGUGUCGUCGUCUCGUACGCGCGGCACCAGUACCGGUCAGCGACGAAUUCUUCGGGCCUCUUUCCGACCCGUCUUGAAACACGGACCAAGGAGUCUAACAUGCGCGCGAGUCGCGGGGUGUCGAGCGUACUUCGGGUGCGUUCGUUACGUUUGCGAAACCCGUACAUGUCGAAGGCGUAAUGAAAGUGAAUGGGGAAGAUGGUGUUCCGAGUACACGUUCCGCGAUCGUCGGUAUCGCGGCCGGACACCCGCAUUCCCGGGGCGUCUCAACGGCCCGUCGCUGAUGCGGACAGUCGUCUUUCGGGGCGGCUGUCGGUCGGCGAUGAACCGA